GCCGGGAUGACUGAGUCUGGCCUAAGGUGCCAGCCUGGAAAGCUGGUGGGGCAUUGCGCCCCUCCUGGGUUCAAAUCCCAGUCCCGGCG
rnacentral:tRNA from 1 species